UAGGGAGUCUUCCGCAAUGGGCGAAAGCCUGACGGAGCAACGCCGCGUGAGUGAUGAAGGUCUUCGGAUCGUAAAACUCUGUUAUUAGGGAAGAACAAAUGUGUAAGUAACUAUGCACGUCUUGACGGUACCUAAUCAGAAAGCCACGGCUAACUACGUGCCAGCAGCCGCGGUAAUACGUAGGUGGCAAGCGUUAUCCGGAAUUAUUGGGCGUAAAGCGCGCGUAGGCGGUUUUUUAAGUCUGAUGUGAAAGCCCACGGCUCAACCGUGGAGGGUCAUUGGAAACUGGAAAACUUGAGUGCAGAAGAGGAAAGUGGAAUUCCAUGUGUAGCGGUGAAAUGCGCAGAGAUAUGGAGGAACACCAGUGGCGAAGGCGACUUUCUGGUCUGUAACUGACGCUGAUGUGCGAAAGCGUGGGGAUCAAACAGG
rnacentral:rRNA from 1 species